rnacentral:misc_RNA from 1 species
CGCGCGCGAAAUUUUGUGUUAGUACUCACAACUCACUAUUGUGUUUGUAUGUGUAUGCGUUUCCUGCGUCGUCCUCGUAUUGUAUUUUCGAAAUGAUUUCGUUUCGAAGAUAGUGUUGUGGACUAUCGAAAGGCUGAAGUAUUUGAAAUUCUCCCGCAGUGGAAAACGCGUGUGUUGAAGCUGCACAGAAAUGAUUGUAAUGUGCAAGAAAUUAAAUCUUUAAACAUCCUUGUUGGUGUUAAAACAAGGGAGGAGUUUGGACAGUGGUUGGCACAGUUUGAAAACAUAACAAAAACAACUUGUACAAUAAGGUGCACUGAACCUGCAUCAGGAAAGUAUGUUGUUUUCAAACAAAGGCUGGUAUGUCACCACAAUACUCGCAGUAUAAAAGUUCAUGGUUCAGUGCAAAGGGCAACAAAAAACACUAACUGUCCAUCAAAAAUGACAGUGACAAUUCACACUGUGCAUGAUACAGAGGUAAGUCUGUAGAGAAAGCAAUGCUCUACAAGGAAAUGCCGUGUGAGGUUAACUUGGUGUUGGGUCAUAACCACAGUGUUGAGAGUGCUGCUGCUUUAAGAUUUAGGCAACCAUCAAGUGAUGGCAAAGAAAAAUUAAUAUCCCUGUUUGAAAGAGGUCAUUCAGCAGCCACUGCUCUUGAGUCAAUAAAGGUUGAAAUUCAGCUGAAUUGUUCAGAUUACCCUUUAGUCCUUGCAGACAGAAGCAGGUGUCCUGAUUACAACUUUUGCCACUAUUUGUUCAACAAAGUUUUAAGAAAAAGUAUGGGCCAACAGACUUCAACAAAGAAGGAAAGCAGCUGUUGCAACAGAGGAUAGAGGAAUACAACAGCGAAGUUGGAGCUGUGUGUGCCAAGAUGAUUCAGAAAGAUGAUGAUUAUAUAGUAUGCAUUUGCUCACCACUGAUGCAAAAAGUCCAUACUCAUGUAAAAGCUGCUUCCAAACUUGUAUUUAUGGAUUCCACUGGUUCUCUGGAUCAUGAUAGCAGCAGAGUGUUCGUUUUACUUACUCACAGUGAGUGUGGAGGUUUACCACUAGGAGUUCUGAUUAUGUCUUCAGAAAGCUGCGGAGUUAUAGAAAUGGGACUAGAGUUGCUGAAAGAGAUAGUGGGGGAAAAUAUUUUUGGGGGAAACAUCAAUGGCCCAAGUGUGUUUCUGACUGACGACAGCCAGUCAGAACAAAAUGCAAUUGGAAGGUGCUUCCCAAACACAAAAACUUUGUUGUGUAUAUUCCAUGUCCUGCAGGCAGUGUGACACUGGCUUCUCAAAGCAAAAAAUGCUAUACCACAGCAAAAACAGUGCGAAUUCUUCCAUAAUUUCAAAAAAAUAAUGUUUGCGCAAACAAAAAAUGAAGCAGUGGUAAACUAUAAUGUAACAAGAGCGAACAUCAGUGAAAAUCAUCAAAAUUUAUUGAAAUACUUGGAAGGGUAUUGGGAUAGGAGAGAACUGUGGACCCUUUCACAUCGGCGAGGUAUGCUUAUAGAAGGGCACAACGCAAAUAAUAUAAGUGAGGCCUUCAUGAGAAUUUUAAAGGACAGAAUUUUUGAGAGGGUGCGUGCCUUCAAUGUGGUUCAGAUGGUGGACUUUUUUCUCACAAAGGUGAAUUUGUAUUUUCAGAGGAGACUUCUUGAUGCUGCUAAUGGAGCAAGUCCUAAGUCUUUCUGUAGGCCUAUAAAGGCUCCUUCACAGGAGAUUCUAGCAAAAAUCAGGCAAGUCAAUGAGGAUGUUCUGCUCGUUCCCAGUGAAGAAAGGGAGAAUCAUUAUUACAUUGUUAAUAUGGCUGUUCUUGUUUGCACUUGUUGCCAAGGCAAUACAGGGAAGAUCUGCAAACAUAUAGACUGGGGCAUUACUGUUUUACCAUCAGGAAACUACAGGGAGGUGACGGAUAGUGACAGUAUACGUAGACUGUAUUAUUUUAUUGCUACAAAUGAGGAGACUCCUGAAGGGUGGCUAGAGCCUCUGUAUUGCUCUCAGAAUGCAGGGGGCUUCAAGUUCUUCGGAACGUUUGGAGCAAAUGGACACAGGUUUGCCCUGUGAAAGCCAAGAAGAGAUGCCAGAGACACUUCACAUGGAGACAGUUCCAGACAAAAGAAAUAAUGAUUUAAUCGACGAGAUAAAAGCUCGUCUCAUAGAUUUUUCAAAUAAAUCCCCUGAGGAAAUGAAGAAAGGCCUUGAAGUCAUGUGCGAAAAAUUGGGAAAGCUUAAAACGCCAUCUGCAUGUGCAUCUUAUUUGGCAAAUUUUGGUGAAGGAAAAUCUAGAAAAUAUCGUGGUAACUAUAUUCCCGUUCAGCCCACUGCAAUAAGCAGAAGAAAAAACAAGUUGGCAGGUCGCAGAUGUCAUCCGGGGGGGAAACAAAGACCACACUCUAAGCAAAGCAAGGAAUUUGUAAAGACAGUAGAAAUUUCUGAAAUGGCUACCUUUCCAUCACCAGCUAUGCAAUCAUCCCAGUCAGCUUCAGACUUUUGAAGGUGCACGACUGUUUACUGCAGCAUAGUGUGUAGGAUUUUCUUAAUCUGAGAUCCAACCUAAUGGAACUAUUAAGGGAAUGAUUGUAGUAAUUAAGUUUUUUCUUAAAGCUCAGGCCUAGCCUGACUGCUGAAAUAUAUUAAGUUUUUUUUGUUGUAGCUCUAGCUCGGGUCUGACCCGAUUAUUCCCGGCGGGGUCAGGUAUUUUCUCUGCCUCGUGAUGACUGGGUGUUGUGUGAUGCCCUUAGGUUAGUUAGGUUUAAUUAGUUCUAAGUUCUAGGGGACUGAUGACCAUAGAUGUUAAGUCCCAUAGUGCUCAGAGCCAUUUUCUAACCCGAUUAUUGAAAUAAGUUUUUUCUUAAAGCUCAGACCAAACUUACUAUUGAAAUAUAGAAGUUCUUCUUUAAAUUGGUAUAGCCCAAGAAUGUGGAUACUUAUUGUGUAUGUUGCACAAGUUUCUGGGAAAUGUGAAUUAUCUUUUCUUAAAAUGUAAACUACAUUUUAUAUUCUGCAUAUGACUUUUUUCAUUUACAUCUGUUCCUUCAGGUUACGUUAUUAAGUUUUUUACAACAUUAAUGCAUUUUUUUGUUUAGUUUAGGAUGGUUGCCUGAAAGUGUGUUCUCCCAGCAAAAAAAUCGUUUACUUCCCUUUUAGUUAAUUUGAGAUGGAAAAUUUUUGUUUAGACUCUACAUGCCAGAGGAAGUUAUCAUCAUAAGCAAUUCCUUUAUGCCAACCUUGGUGUAAAUGGGGGCAAUCUGUUCAUAAUUCCUAUUUAAAUGUGAUGCUUAUAUUAACAUUGCAAAAUAUCUUC